rnacentral:rRNA from 1 species
UGAGGAAUAUUGGGCAAUGGACGAAAGUCUGACCCAGCAACGCCGCGUGGAGGAUGAAGGUCGUAAGAUUGUAAACUCCUGUGAGGAGGGACGAAAGAUUAAGUUUCGUAAGGGACUUAAGUUGACUGUACCUUCAGAGGAAGCCCCGGCUAACUACGUGCCAGCAGCCGCGGUAAUACGUAGGGGGCAAGCGUUGUCCGGAUUCACUGGGUGUAAAGGGCGCGUAGGCGGGUUGGUAAGUUAGAGGUGAAAUCCUACGGCUCAACCGUAGAACUGCCUCUAAUACUGCUAACCUUGAGUGCAGAAGAGAGAAGCGGAAUUCCAGGUGUAGUGGUGAAAUACGUAGAUAUCUGGAAGAACACCAGUAGCGAAGCGGCUUCUGGUCUGUUACUGACGCUCAGG